rnacentral:rRNA from 1 species
AGUGAACGCUGGCGGUAGGCCUAACACAUGCAAGUCGAACGGCAGCACAGUAAGAGCUUGCUCUUACGGGUGGCGAGUGGCGGACGGGUGAGGAAUACAUCGGAAUCUACUUUUUCGUGGGGGAUAACGUAGGGAAACUUACGCUAAUACCGCAUACGACCUACGGGUGAAAGCAGGGGAUCUUCGGACCUUGCGCGAUUGAAUGAGCCGAUGUCGGAUUAGCUAGUUGGCGGGGUAAAGGCCCACCAAGGCGACGAUCCGUAGCUGGUCUGAGAGGAUGAACAGCCACACUGGAAAGGAGACACGGUCCAGCUUCGUACGGGAGGCAGCAGUGGGGAAUAUUGGACAAUGGGCGCAAGCCUGAUCCAGCCAUACCGCGUGGGUGAAGAAGGCCUUCGGGUUGUAAAGCCCUUUUGUUGGGAAAGAAAAGCAGCAGGUUAAUACCCCGCUGUUCUGACGGAACCCAAAGAAUAAGCACCGGCUAACUUCGG